AGUGAACGCUGGCGGUAGGCCUAACACAUGCAAGUCGAACGGCAGCACAGUAAGAGCUUGCUCUUACGGGUGGCGAGUGGCGGACGGGUGAGGAAUACAUCGGAAUCUACUUUUUCGUGGGGGAUAACGUAGGGAAACUUACGCUAAUACCGCAUACGACCUACGGGUGAAAGCAGGGGAUCUUCGGACCUUGCGCGAUUGAAUGAGCCGCUGUCGGAUUAGCUAGUUGGCGGGGUAAAGGCCCACCAAGGCGAGGAUCCGUAGCCGGUCUGAGAGAAGGGUAGGCGACAUGAGAACGGGAACAGGGUCCAGGGUCCUGAGGGAGGCAGCAGUGGGGAAUAUUGGACAAUGGUGGCGAGCCUGGUCCAGCGAUACCGCGUGGGUUAAGAAGGCCUUGGGGUUGUAAAGCCCUUUUGUUGGGAAAGAAAAGCAGCAGGUUAAUACCCCGCGGGUCUGACGGUACCCAAAGAAUAAGCACCGGCUAACUUCGUG
rnacentral:rRNA from 1 species